GGGGAAUAUUGCACAAUGGAGGAAACUCUGAUGCAGCAACGCCGCGUGAAGGAUGAAGGUCUUCGGAUUGUAAACUUCUUUAGUCAGGGACGAAUAAAUGACGGUACCUGAAGAAUAAGCCACGGCUAACUACGUGCCAGCAGCCGCGGUAAUACGUAGGUGGCGAGCGUUGUCCGGAAUUACUGGGUGUAAAGGGCGUGUAGGCGGCCCUGCAAGUCAGGCGUGAAAGGCGGAGGCUUAACCUCCGAGCUGCGUUUGAAACUGUGGGGCUUGAGUGGAGCAGAGGCAGGCGGAAUUCCCGGUGUAGCGGUGAAAUGCGUAGAGAUCGGGAGGAACACCAGUGGCGAAGGCGGCCUGCUGGGCUUUAACUGACGCUGAAGCACGAAAGCAUGGGUAGCAAACA
rnacentral:rRNA from 1 species